ACCUGAGCUCCGGUGCCUUCUGAGCUGAUAUCAGUUGUAGUAAAUCACUGGCUCAGUUCAGCAGGAACAGGAGUGUGGCC